AAUAUUGGACAAUGGGUGCAAGCCUGAUCCAGCCAUCCCGCGUGAAGGAUUAAGGUACUAUGGAUUGUAAACUUCUUUUAUACAGGGAUAAACCUCUCCUCGUGAGGAGAGCUGAAGGUACUGUAUGAAUAAGCACCGGCUAACUCCUUGCCAGAAGCCGCGGUAAUACGGAGGGUGCAAGCGUUAUCCGGAUUUAUUGGGUUUAAAGGGUCCGUAGGCGGGCCGAUAAGUCAGUGGUUAAAUCUCGCAGCUUAACUGUGAAACUGCCAUUGAUACUGUUGGUCUUGAGUAAAUUUGAAGUGGCUGGAAUAAGUAGUGUAGCGGUGAAAUGCAUAGAUAUUACUUAGAACACCAAUUGCGAAGGCAGGUCACUAAGAUUUAACUGACGCUGAUGGACGAAAGCGUGGGUAGCGAACA
rnacentral:rRNA from 1 species